GGUUGUGGCUCAGUGGUAGAGUGCUGGCCUGGCAUGUGCAAGGCCCUGGGUUUGAUCCUCAGCACCA
rnacentral:tRNA from 1 species